CUCCUUUGGACAUUUCUUUUCUUA
rnacentral:snRNA from 1 species